rnacentral:rRNA from 1 species
AGAGUUUGAUCCUGGCUCAGAUGAACGCUAGCGGCAGGCUUAACACAUGCAAGUCGAGGGGCAGCAUAGUCUUCGGACUGAUGGCGAACCGGCAAACGGGUGCGGAACACGUACGCAACAUACCCUUAUCUGGGAGAUAGCCCGAAGAAAUUCGGAUUAAUACCCCAUAGUAUUAUUAGCAGGCAUCUGUUAGAUAAUUAAAGAUUUAUUGGAUAGGGAUUGGCGUGCGUCCUAUUAGCUAGUUGGUAGGGUAACGGCCUACCAAGGCGACGAUAGGUAGCUGGUGUGAGAGCACGACCAGCCACACGGGCACUGAGACACGGGCCCGACUCCUACGGGAGGCAGCAGUGAGGAAUAUUGGUCAAUGGACGGAAGUCUGAACCAGCCAUGCCGCGUGAAGGAUGAAGGCGUUCUGCGUUGUAAACUUCUUUUAUCUGGGAAGAAACCUCCGAUUUCUAUUGGAGCCGACGGUACCAGAGGAAUAAGCACCGGCUAACUCCGUG